UUUCCGUAGGUGAACCUGCGGAAGGAUCAUUGACAAGUCCCAAUAUUAUUAUGCGAACAUGUUACCUUUGAAUAUAAGUGGAAAUGUACCGUCAUUGGUCUUUUCACUUCAGCCGACUUUCACUCUCUUAUUGGGUGAUGGGGAGCUCUAACAAACCCUUCGGCACGGUCCGUGCCAAGGAAUUUAAUGAUGUCAUCGUGGUUGCAUAUUUAUGUGCCUCACGAUGACUAUGUAUAUCAUUCAAUGAUAAUUUGAUGACUCUCGGCAACGGAUAUCUUGGUCCUCGCAUCGAUGAAGAACGUAGCGAAAUGCGAUACUUGGUGUGAAUUGCAGAAUCCCGUGAACCAUCGAGUUUUUGAACGCAAGUUGCGCCCAAAGCUUUCGGGCCGAGGGCUAGCCUGCGUGGGCGUCAUGUAAUGUUGCUCACACUCUCAUUGAGUCAGCUAUUCGUUGGCUUAUGUUUGUGACAGCGUAAAUUGACCCUCCAUUCUUCUUUAGGAAUGGUGGGUUUAAGUGAAUGGCAUUCGUUAAAGUGCUAAGUUAUAACGGUUGAAGUCUCAUAGUAUAUGGCUAUCUUGCCACUAUGUGCCUACUUGUUAUUCUUGCCUUUGUCGAUCCUCCUUUUCCUUGCUAUUUUGUUAGAACGUUUUAGCUUGGCUCAUAUUGCGACCCCACGUCAGGCUGGAUCACCCGCUGAGUUUAA
rnacentral:rRNA from 1 species